rnacentral:rRNA from 1 species
UACGUAGGUGGCAAGCGUUGUCCGGAUUUACUGGGCGUAAAGGAUGCGUAGGCGGACAUUUAAGUCAGAUGUGAAAUACCCGAGCUUAACUUGGGUGCUGCAUUUGAAACUGGGUGUCUAGAGUGCAGGAGAGGUAAGUGGAAUUCCUAGUGUAGCGGUGAAAUGCGAAGAGAUUAGGAAGAACACCAGUGGCGAAGGCGACUUACUGGACUGUAACUGACGCUGAGGCAUGAAAGCGUGGGGAGCAAACAGG